UUGCAAUAUUGUGGACAGCCUGAGUGUAUUUUAUUCAAGAGUGCGCAUGACUGAGUGUAUGCUUUUGUGACCGAGGGGGAGAGAAAGACAGACGAGGGGAGAGUUCUGUUCUUUCACUGCUCCAUCCGGGAAUUUUCGAAUUAGCAUUGACAGCCGAAGCGCAACUUUUCCCCAGGCAAAGUGAAAUCAAGCCGCUCACUCGGACAAAAUAUAGUCCCCACUAUUCAACUAAAAAUGAUCAAAAGAAAAAUAAAUCGACCGUUUGGAGAGGAUGCGUCGACGCGGCGUUAUUUUUAGAGUGGAUCUGUCCAGGUGCUGAAACCUUUCCCCGGUGUUUAGAGCACUUUGCUCAGCGGCGUAAAGUGAGUGAUGAGCCCUCUACACAGCAAAGAAGCAAGAACUUGCUUUGCAGCCUGAGUAGUUCUUCUUUCGAUUGUUAUUGUCGCUUUAAAAAAAAACAUUUUAAUUCACUUAAACUUCACAUUGAUUACAUCGAAAGUGGUACAAAAGUGUUUUUGAAGUCGGAACAUGGAACUACAAUGCCUGCAAGAGGCGUUGAAAGUCGAGAUCCAAUGUCAUCAGGAUGGAGAGCUUAAGAAACAACUACACGAAAGACACGACAGAAUAACAGCCCUAAGCGAAAAACAAGUAAGAAAACCCCCAAAAGCAUCUGUGUUGCUUUAUUAUACACUUAUUGUUGGCUAUAAUCAUCAUUCAUGUCACGGCAAUAGUCUUGUAUUGUGUGAGACCGUUAUGUUUAGGACAAUGUGCUUGUGUGUUUUUUUUUUUAAAAACGGUUUCAAAAAGUAAAGGCAUUUGAUUUAGUCUUUGCUCCCCCUUUAAAGUCGUUGUGUUGUAGAAUUCCUCAACGUAAUCUGCUGAUUCUGUCCGGAUACUCUUUAAGUUGUCUAACAUGAAAUGUUGAAAAAUGUAGCGUCCAUUUUGAGUAAGUCGACAUGUUUUCAGGAGAGUAAGAAAGGAGAUGCUCAAGUAUCCGGUCUGCACUUAUUUUUUAUUUUUUUGUUACACAUCAAGCGUCACGUUUUUACUAUUCUGACUAUUCGUAGAUAUUCAUCGGCGAAUGAAUACGUAUUUUUUUGUUGUUGCUUCUAAAUGGACUUUAUGUGUUACUUUAUAGCCAGUAUUAUUUAUUCUUGGUCACAUGACGGUAAAGGUCGCUUUUGAUUCGAUCGCAGCUUACACUUUCAUUUUUUUAAAUUUUUUUUUUACUACAUCUAGUAUCAAAUUGGCCAAGAUGAACUUCCAUCUUUGUAAUAAGUGAUUUAAACUUAUUUGUAUGUAUUCCUAAUGAGUCAUUUGAAGGGUAAAGAGAAACACUAAAGUCCAGCUCUUCCGCCCAGGAGAACGGGAGCUAUUUUUUCAGCACCACAGAACAGAUGCCGUUGAACGCUUAAAGUCACAACACUGCCUGGCUCAAUAUAUGAAGUUACCGAAGCCACUAAGGAACACAAAACAGACAUAUAAUGUGUAAAUAUAUAUUGUGGAAGUCAAAUCAAUCGACGUUGAAUCAUUUUAGUUCAUUUUAAAGGGUUUUUGCGUUGGCCUAAGUUAGAUCGAUCCUGUUUCUUCAGGAAUGCAGUUUUCAGCACUUGAGCCCUGAACAGCGCCUUGAUUUUCUCCACCAUUCGCUGUUGAACGUUUCCUGUAAAGCAGAAGACGAACUCAUUUAGGCAGCUUAUGCAGAGAAACAAUGCUUAUAUUUUCACGUAGUUGGUUAUCUAUUUACACGAGGUGGAUCUUUCCAGAGUAUGUAUUUGUUGUAGUGUUUUACGCAAAGCGCCUUAGUUUGGUAGUGGAUGCUUCCAUUUUGUGCCGAGAAGGGGUGUUGGUUUCUUCCUAACAUGGAGAAAAAGUCUGCGGAGUUUCUCGGAGAGGGGGGAUGGGCCCCAUUCAUGCCGAACAUUACCAUUUUGAUUGCUUUGAUGCUGUUUAUAGAGGAGGGGGAGGGGAGAGAGAAAAGAGAGAGCCCCGAGUCAGCAGCAGCAACGCAGCCUGGGAUGUUUAAUCACUGUUUAGCGUCGAUUCUCCUUAUUUUAUUAGCGGAAUAUGACCUAUAGUUUACUCUGCUCUAGCGAUGCUUGCUGCUACCAGAGAAAAUCUGCUUUUUACACCGUCAUAGAUUUAGUUGUUGUUGUUGUUGUUGUAGGGCACUGACAUUACAUAUCACCUGAAGAAUAGGCUUUUGUUUACUUUUGUUUAAGUCAAAUUUGAGAUGUUAAAAGAUAGCUUUGUUAGGUCAACAUAUGUGUAAUAAUUUAGCCUAUUCAUUUAGCAUAUGAUUCACUUUCUUUCUCUUAAAUUAAAAGUGUAUUUUGCUUCAGUGGCUUUUGUUAUAUAAAAAUGACAUAAAAUUAAUACUUAACAUAGUGACUUUAUAGUCAUCCAGACGUUAUAAUGCAUAUGCCAAUGUUCUGACGGUGGCUAGUAAAUACUAGUCCCUCUGUUAAACCAAACUACUCUACAAACACGAGGCAGAAAGUAUACAGUAUGCAUCAUAUGUCUAUGAGGAUGUAGGCCUGUGUGUGUUUCUAUCCUAGGUUUUGUUGAGGGACGGUGUGAAUAGAGAGAGGAGCAGGUUGUUGAGGGACGGUGUGAAUACAGAGAGGAGCAGGUUGUUGAGGGACGGUGUGAAUAGAGAGAGGAGCAGGUUGUUGAGGGACGGUGUGAAUAGAGUACUAAUACUAUAUAGGGAAUAGGGCCCUGGUCUAAAGUAGUGCACUAUAUAGUGAAUAGGGCCCCAGUCUAAAGUAGUGCACUAUAUAGGGAAUAGGGCCCCAGUCUAAAGUAGUGCACUAUAUAGGGAAUAGGGCCCCAGUCUAAAGUAGUGCACUAUAUAGGGAAUAGGGCCCCAGUCUAAAGUAGUGCACUAUAUAGGGAAUAGGAUGCCAUUUGGGACUCAGAUUCAGUGUGACCUUCUGUUACCUUCAGGGGAAAACACAGACAGACAGUUCUAUUCCUUAUCCCAGUGUAGUCCUGAGAGACAGACAGCUCUAUUCCUUAUCCCAGUUUAGUCCUGAGAGACAGAGAGCUCUAUUCCUUUUCCCAGUUUAGUCCUGAGAGACAGACAGCUCUAUUCCUUAUCCCAGUUUAGUCCUGAGAGACAGACAGCUCUAUUCCUUAUCCCAGUUUAGUCCUGAGAGACAGACAGCUCUAUUCCUUAUCCCAGUUUAGUCCUGAGAGACAGACAGCUCUAUUCCUUAUCCCAGUUUAGUCCUGAGAGACAGACAGCUCUAUUCCUUAUCCCAGUUUAGUCCUGAGAGACAGACAGCUCUAUUCCUUAUCCCAGUUUAGUCCUGAGAGACAGACAGCUCUAUUCCUUAUCCCAGUUUAGUCCUGAGAGACAGACAGCUCUAUUCCUUAUCCCAGUUUAGUCCUGAGAGACAGACAGCUCUAUUCCUUAUCCCAGUUUAGUCCUGAGAGACAGACAGCUCUAUUCCUUAUCCCAGUUUAGUCCUGAGAGACAGACAGCUCUAUUCCUUAUCCCAGUUUAGUCCUGAGAGACAGACAGCUCUAUUCCUUAUCCCAGUUUAGUCCUGAGAGACAGACAGCUCUAUUCCUUAUCCCAGUUUAGUCCUGAGAGACAGACAGCUCUAUUCCUUAUCCCAGUUUAGUCCUGAGAGACAGACAGCUCUAUUCCUUUUCCCAGUUUAGUCCUGAGAGACAGACAGCUCUAUUCCUUAUCCCAGUUUAGUCCUGAGAGACAGACAGCUCUAUUCCUUAUCCCAGUUUAGUCCUGAGAGACAGACAGCUCUAUUCCUUAUCCCAGUUUAGUCCUGAGAGACAGACAGCUCUAUUCCUUAUCCCAGUUUAGUCCUGAGAGACAGAAGUCUACAACGUUCACAACUGAACGAUUAAACUUCAACAAUACUUUUAAACAUUCCUUUUCGUUUGCUUUUCACUCUGUUGCAACAUUGUAAUCAGUCUGUUCUGUCAGGUAGCAGAGACUACAUUAAUGUGUAGUUCUUUGGGUGGCCUACUGGGACCCGGCUGGUAACCUGACUGCUAGGUUUAUGUUAUUAAUAACAGCAAGGCUGGCAACCUGACUGCUAGGUUUAUGUUAUUAAUAACAGUAGAAGUAACAAUGUUAACCUGACUGCUAGGUUUAUGUUAUUAAUAACAGCAAGGCUAGUAACCUGACUGCUAGGUUUAUGUUAUUAAUAACAGUAGAAGUAACAAUGUUAACCUGACUCCAGCUGAUUUCAAUGGACCACCACUCUGUCAGACUGACUCUAAAGUAGGUCUACUUUGAAAGGCAGCUUUGGUCGGCCAUUAUUCCUCAUGUUUGGCUCUAUGUCUCAAUGUGCUGAUCAUUAAGUCCUGGUGGUUCCUAGGCUGUAUGGAGAUGACUGGUAUCAGUUAUUUAUCUGUUUCCUGUUUUACCAAGGCUGCUGUUAGGGGGAGCAGGAAGGAACCAGUUAUUUAUCUGUUUCCUGUUUUACCAAGGCUGCUGUUAGGGGGAGCAGGAAGGAACCAGUUAUUUAUCUGUUUCCUGUUUUACCAAGGCUGCUGUUAGGGGGAGCAGGUAGGAACCAGUUAUUUAUCUGUUUCCUGUUUUACCAAGGCUGCUGUUAGGGGGAGCAGGAAGGAACCAGUUAUUUAUCUGUUUCCUGUUUUACCAAGGCUGCUGUUAGGGGGAGCAGGAAGGAACCAGUUAUUUAUCUGUUUCCUGUUUUACCAAGGCUGCUGUCAGGGGGAGCAGGGAGGAAUCAGUUAUUUAUCUGUUUCCUGUUUUACCAAGGCUGCUGUUAGGGGGAGCAGGAAGGAACCAGUUAUUUAUCUGUUUCCUGUUUUACCAAGGCUGCUGUUAGGGGGAGCAGGAAGGAACCAGUUAUUUAUCUGUUUCCUGUUUUACCAAGGCUGCUGUUAGGGGGAGCAGGAAGGAACCAGUUAUUAUCUGUUUCCUGUUUUACCAAGGCUGCUGUUAGGGGGAGCAGGAAGGAACCAGUUAUUUAUCUGUUUCCUGUUUUACCAAGGCUGCUGUCAGGGGGAGCAGGGAGGAAUCAGUUAUUUAUCUGUUUCCUGUUUUACCAAGGCUGCUGUUAGGGGGAGCAGGAAGGGAUCAGUUAUUUAUCUGUUUCCUGUUUUACCAAGGCUGCUGUUAGGGGGAGUAGGCAGGAACCAGUUAUUUAUCUGUUUCCUGUUUUACCAAGGCUGCUGUUAGGGGGAGCAUGAAAUAACCACUUAUUUAUCUGUUUCCUGUUUUACCAAGGCUGCUGUUAGGGGGAGCAGGAAGGAACCAGUUAUUUAUCUGUUUCCUGUUUUACCAAGGCUGCUGUUAGGGGGAGCAGGAAAGAACCAGUUAUUUAUCUGUUUCCUGUUUUACCAAGGCUGCUGUUAGGGGGAGCAGGGAGGAACCAGUUAUUUAUCUGUUUCCUGUUUUACCAAGGCUGCUGUUAGGGGGA
rnacentral:lncRNA from 1 species